CCGUUCUCCACGGGGAAUUGCAAUCCCUCGACCUGAAGCUGAUGCAGGGUGCAGAGCCUGUUGUGAGGGUUUGGCAGGUAAUUUUGAUAAAUAUAUUGUUGUUGACGUUUGAGUGUACGGCGGCGUAAAAUACCGAACCGUGUCAGGAUGGAAACAUAGCAGCACUAAGGUAACCUUUGCGGGUGUCAUAUGCUUGAAAAGAGAUAAUGUAUUUAAAGACUUUAUUUGUCAAAUUCGAUAGACAGUGGAACGG
rnacentral:SRP_RNA from 1 species